rnacentral:rRNA from 1 species
ACCCUGCAAUCAAAUAGAUUGUCCCAAGGGCGCCAUAUUCUAGGAGCCCAAGUUAUGCUAUUGAAAAUUCAUUCCUCUAGCAGUUCCGGUUUGAGCAUUCCGUUCCCUUUUUCAAACUCCACUUCUUUUCAUAUAGCAUCCCUGAUCAAAGAGAGAACAAUAUCCAUUUCAAAACAUUUCUAACAGAUUCCUUAGUUCGGACCGACCAUCCAGAGUACAAUCAAGGUCCAACUACGGAACCAAAAUAAAGGAAGACAACCCCAAAUGUAG